UACGGAGGGGGCUAGCGUUGUUCGGAAUUACUGGGCGUAAAGCGCACGUAGGCGGCGCAGCAAGUCAGGGGUGAAAUCCCGGGGCUCAACCCCGGAACUGCCCUUGAAACUGCAGUGCUAGAAUUCUGGAGAGGCGAGUGGAAUUCCGAGUGUAGAGGUGAAAUUCGUAGAUAUUCGGAAGAACACCAGUGGCGAAGGCGACUCGCUGGACAGACAUUGACGCUGAGGUGCGAAAGCGUGGGGAGCAAACAGG
rnacentral:rRNA from 1 species